AUAUCAAAUAGGGUAUUUCAUUCAUUAGAUACCUCUUACAAUGCUACUACGACUUAUAUAUAAUGUUUACCCUUUACUCCUAGCUGGCUAUGUGUACUAGACUAAUAACAAGAGGACACCUAGACAGGAAAAUAUCGGAAUACAAAUAAAAGGACUGGAAACGUGCUGGGCCAUAUAAUGGGCCAGCUUUAGGAAUAUUACUAAUACCCAAUAAGAGUGACUAACGACCCAUUAACAUAUUAAGCCCAAUAACAUUUAACUCGUCUCCUUUAACUUAGCGUAAUUUAAGAUCCGCUACAUCCCAUUCCCGUUUAAGAACCUUGUUAAAUCAAGGUUGCAAUUUGGAAAUUGUGCAGUGAAGGAAGUGUAAUCUUCCAAUGUUGCAUCUUCUGGAGCUAGAUUAGCCCACUGUACAAGAACUUGAGUCACCGCCCAAUUUCUCUUUUUUCACCAUGAGCCGAUCAAGAAUCGCAAUGGGUUCCGCUAUGAGCUGACCAUCCGGGGUGCAUAAAGGAGGCUCUUUUAUGGGAAAAACAUUCGGUCCAAUCUUCUUCUUCAAUUAGGAGACGUGGAACACUGUAUGAAUUCUAGAUUCGCUGGGCAAUUGAAGUUCAUACGCCACUGGGCCAAUCUUCUUAAUUACCGGGUAAGGACCAAAGAACUUCGAAGCCAACUUGAGAUUUUUUCUUAUUGCUACUGAUGUUUGUCGAUAGGGUUGUAGUUUGAUGAACACCAAAUCUCCCACUUCGAAUUCUCGCUCACUUUUUUUGCUAUCUGCAUAUUGUUUCGUACGGGACUGAGCUUUGACCAAAUUUUCCUUGAGUUGCUUGCAUACUAUCGGCCUUUUUUUCAAAGAAUUGGUCCACUAAUUCAACUGUCAAAUGUUGGUUGUGGAGGCUAGUAUCCACAAAGUGCUUGAAAUGGUGUCAUUCCGAUAGCUGAUUGAAAAUAGGUGUUGUACCAAAAUUCACCUAAAGGAAGCCAUUUGCACCAUUCCUUUGGUUUCUAUCCCGUUAUACACUUCAGAUUUUUAAACAACUCUUGCCAAAACAGACUCAUAAAAACAGGAUCCCUAUCCCAAGACAAUUGAGCAGGGUACUCCAUGUAGCUUCACACUUGAUCCAAAAAUACUUGGGCAAUCUGAGAUGCAUUGUAAGGAUGAGAUAGGCUUAUAAGGUGUCCACACUUAGUAAAUCGAUCAAUUACUACUAAGAUGACAUUUUUUCCUUGUGAUUUAGGUAAGCCUUCGAUGAAAUCCAUAGAAAUGUGCUUCCAAGCCCUAUUUGGAAUUGGUAAUGGUUGUAGCAAACUAGGGUAAGCACAACUUUCACCCUUGUUUUGUUGGCAAACUUCGUAUUCUUGGAUUGCUAGCUUCAUAUCCUGUAACAUCUUUGGCCAAUAAAAUACUGAUUUGAGUCUUUUGUAAGUGGCAUGUACUCCGGAACGCCCUCCCCAUGCUGUUGAAUACAUGUCUUGAAUCAAUUUUGGCCUAAGAUUCUUUUGAUUUCCAAUCCACACUUUUCCUUAAAACCUCAACAGACCUGAUUGUAAGGUUAUUUCAGCCACUGCUUUCGGGUUUAAACUGAGUUUAGUCAUCAAUGUUUGGACUUCAAUAUCACCAUCAUAACUCUCAAUUACAUCUUGUAUCCAUUUAGGUUGUGACACACACAAACCCAUACACGGGCCCACUGGAUCACCUUCUUUGGCUUCCUCACCUCUUCGAGACAACGCAUCUGCUACAAUUUUUUCUUUCCCCUAUCGGUAAUGUAUUUCAUAGCUUAAUCCCAUCAAUUUUGUUACCCCUUUAUGUUGUAAUGAAGUAGUGAUGCGUUGAUCUCUGAGAAACUUCAAGCUAAAGUGAUCUGUUUUAAUCACAAUGUGAGCAUGUUGGAGGUAAUGCCUUCAUUUUUCUACAGCUAACAACAGAGCAAUUAGCUCUUUUUCGUA